CAAAAACCUUCAUGGAAAGUAUUGUUUUUUAUGCAAAGAUCAUUGAAUUGAAUAUUCGUGGAAAUUUUAUCAAGAAAGCAAAAUGAGCCAUCAAUGUUCAUAAACACAGGCUUUUUGACUAACUCAUCAAUACAAAUCGAAGAUAAUGUGCAAUAGUUUUGGCAUUGGUUCAGGUUGUCAAGUUUUGGCGGGAGCCAACUAAAUUUAAUAAAUUCUGAAGUAUUUAAAACGAAUGGUUUUAAGUUGUAAUCAAAGCUUGAUUCCUGCAUUGUUUGUAACGGCAAAGACUUUGAAGUGAGUAAAUUACUCAUAAAAAGAGAAUAUUUUUGGUUAAUUAAGCAAGAUUUUCUUGAGCAUGAUAAUUUUGGAUUAAUCAUACUAGCAACAAAUUGUGGGAUUUGUUUCUUGAAAAUAACAUCAAGAAUUGUAGAAUUCCAGAUAUUGUCAGCCAUGACAUCCUCUCUAUUUGCUGUUAAAAUCAAAUCUUGGAUAUUAACAUGAAAUGGAAGAUAGAUUCUAUGGUUCAAAGGGAACGUACAAAACAACUUUCCUGUAACCCUUUUAUGUUUUCCAAAAGUUGAUGAACCAAACGAGAAUGAAGAUGAGUUUAUUAUCCUUUCACCUUUAUCUAUUUCAAGUCUCAAAUUUGAAUGGAACAAAGGAAGAGCAAUAGACCAUACUGUUGAAGAUCUUGUAGCUCUAUCUCUGAGAGUGGAGCUCUCAAGCUUUUGAUCCUCUGAAAUUGGUAUUUCCCAGUCCACUAUAAGGUAUUUAGAAGAAAUUAAACUCUCUCUUAAUAGUUUUCCUUUAUUCAAAUCUAAAUCGUCAUCAUCAAAUUGGGCUAUCUCAAUUUUUGUAAAUCUGAAACUUUUUAUUGAAGAAAGACUAUCAUCUUUGAAUUCAUCUAGGUUGAAAGUUUCACCUAGACUUUGAGAAAUAUCAGGAACUGAAAUCAAGUCAUUUAAAGUUAAUCUCCUUCUUAAAAGUGGAUAAAUUGUAUUCUUUUCAAAGGAACAAAAAUCCGAGUCUUUUCUGGGCUCAACAUCUACCACUAUUGAUUUAAUAUUUCUCAAAAAGAGAAGAAUAUCAUGUACGAAAGUGUUACGAAUUGCAGAUAAAAUUGAUGAGAAUUUCUGUUUCAUGUUCUUCUCAAAUGGAAGAUAGUGCAAUGUUCCUAAGUUGCUUGAACUUUGGACAAAUUUAGGCCCAAAUUCAGAUCUUAUAUUAUCAAACCUCCAAGGAGUCCCAUAUAAACUAAUAUUUGAAUGAAUUGUUUUUACUACUUCUGGGAAAUCUGACUCUUCUAUCCAUUUUGGUACAAUAUAACUCAAUUCAAUUUCUUCAUCAGGUUUACUUGAAAACUUUAUAGAGUAUCCACCACUAAAUAUACAAGGAUUAUCAGUUAUUUUAAAUAUUGACCUAUAUCCA
rnacentral:antisense_RNA from 1 species